UACGUAGGGUCCGAGCGUUGUCCGGAAUUACUGGGCGUAAAGAGCUCGUAGGUGGUUUGUCGCGUUGUUCGUGAAAACUCACAGCUUAACUGUGGGCGUGCGGGCGAUACGGGCAGACUUGAGUACUGCAGGGGAGACUGGAAUUCCUGGUGUAGCGGUGGAAUGCGUAGAUAUCAGGAGGAACACCGGUGGCGAAGGCGGCUUCCUGGACAAUUACUGACGCUGAGACGCGAAAGCGUGGGGAGCAAACAGG
rnacentral:rRNA from 1 species